rnacentral:rRNA from 1 species
CCGGUUGGGGACGAGCUCGCGGCGGAUUAGCUUGUUGGUGGGGUAAAGGCCCACCAAGGCGACGAUCCGUAGCUGGUCUGAGAGGACGAUCAGCCACACUGGGACUGAGACACGGCCCAG